CACCAAGCUGGCCCUCUCGGCAACCGGCACAACACAACAAAAUGGCUGCUGUGCUGUCGGUCUCCUGAGGGGAAGUAUCCCGGCGUCUCCGCCUCGCCCCUCCCGCUAGGCCGUUCCUUCCCGUGCUGAGGCGGUUUUGAUGGCCACCUGGUUUUAUUCUUGCAAUGAAGAAAGGUUCUGAACGAAGGCUCUCCAAAGCAAAGAUGCCGCUGUCAUCUCAUUUUCCUGGGCCAUCAUCUCUUAGGUCCAGCAUGCGAUCUAGGUCCCUUUCACCUUUAAUUGGAUCUGAGACUCAGCCUUUACAUCCUGGCGGACAGUGGCCUGCACAGGCUGAGCUGACAGAUGAAAGCACUGUGCCUUUGGAGCCCCAGCAACGUAAAGGAGCUGAGUCAUAUGUAGGAGUCCGGUAUAUUACAGAAGCCCUCAUCAAAAAACUCACUAAACAGGACAAUUUGGCCUUGGUGAAGUCUCUGAAUCUUUCACUUUCUAAAGAUGGCGGCAAGAAAUUUAGGUACAUCGAAAAUUUGGAAAAGUGUGUUAAACUUGAAGUACUAAAUCUCAGCUAUAAUCUAAUAGUGAAGAUAGAGAAAGUGGACAAGCUGUUACGAUUACGUGAACUCAACUUAUCAUAUAACAAAAUCAGCAAAAUUGAAGGACUAGAAAACAUGUGUAACCUGCAGAAGCUAAACCUAGCAGGUAAUGAAAUCGAGCAUAUUCCAGUGUGGUUCGCAAAGAAAUUGAAAUCUUUACGAGUCCUCAAUCUGAAAGGCAAUAAGAUAUCAUCGCUCCAGGAUGUAAGCAAGUUGAAGCCACUUCAAGAUUUGACUUCUUUAGUCCUCAUUGACAAUCCAGUUGUGGCCCUUCCGCAUUACCUCCAGUUCAUCAUUUUCCACCUCCGUUCCCUGGAAAGUUUGGAAGGUCAGCCAGUAACCACUCAGGAUAGACAAGAGGCUUUCGAGAGAUUCAGCUUGGAGGAGAUAGAAAGACUGGAAAAAGACCUGGAGAAGAAGACAGUGGAAACAGAAGAGCUUAAGAACAAGCAAACAAAGUUUCUCGAGGAAAUAAAGAAUCAGGAUAAACUAAACAAGUCAUUAAAAGAAGAAGCCAUGUUACAAAAACAGAGCUGUGAGGAGCUAGAAAGUGACCUCAGCACAAAGAAGGAGUUGCUAAAACAGAAAACAGUGGAACUAACACGGGCAUGUCAGAAGCAGUAUGAGCUGGAGCAGGAACUGGCCUUUUAUAAAAUUGAUGCCAAGUUUGAGCCAUUAAAUUAUUAUCCAUCAGAGUAUGCUGAAAUUGACAAAUACCCAGAUGAAAGCCCUUACAUUGGCAAAUCCAGAUACAAGAGAAAUAUGUUUGCCACGGAGACUUACAUUGUCAGCGACGCCCAGGCAGUUCAGAUCAGGAAGAUGGUGCCAGAAGGAGGACAGCUUAGACACGAGCACACACCCCCGAGAGUCCAAGCACCACCUGAUCUACAGUUGGAAGAUACGGAAAAAAAAAUAAGUGCAGCACAAACUCGACUGUCAGAACUACACCAUGAAAUAGAAACAGCAGAACAAAAAGUAUUACGGGCUACUCAAGAAUUUAAACAACUGGAAGAAGCUAUACAACAAAAAAAGAUUUCAGAAGCAGAGAAAGACCUCCUUCUCAAGCAGUUGAGUGGUAGACUACAACAUCUAAACAGAUUACGCCAGGAAGCUCUGGACCUAGAAAUACAGAUGGAAAAGCAAAGAAAAGAAAUUGCCGAAAAGCAUGAAGAGAUCAAUACCGUGCAGCUAGCCACAGACAGCCUGGAUCCCAAAGACCCAAAACAUUCCCACAUGAAAGCCCAGAAGAGGGGCAAAGAACAGCAGCUUGACAUUAUGAACAGACAGUACACACAGCUCGAAAGCCGCCUGGACGAGAUACUUUGUAGAAUUGCCAAAGAGACUGAAGAGAUCAAGGACCUUGAACAGCAGCUUACAGAUGGCCAGAUAGCAGCAAACGAAGCUCUGAAGAAGGAUUUAGAAGGUGUCAUCAGUGGGUUGCAAGAGUACCUUGGAACCAUCAAAGGCCAGGCAACUCAGGCCCAGAAUGAGUGCAGGAAGCUACAGGAUGAGAAAGAGACAUUGCUGCAGAGACUGACAGAAGUCCAGCAGGAGAAGGAGGAACUUGAACUCAUUGCCAUGGAUGCAGAAAAUAUGAGGAAGGAGCUUGCAGAGCUAGAAAGUGCCCUCCAGGAACAGCAUGAGGUGAAUGCAUCCCUACAGCAAGCCCAGGGAGAUCUCAGCGCCUAUGAAACUGAGCUAGAGACUCAGUUAAAACUAAAAGACGCUGAAACCAGCCAGCUCAAGCAAGAGUUGGAAAAACUCCUAAGGCGUACUCAGUUAGAGCAAUCGGUGCUUCAAACAGAACUGGAGAAGGAGAGAGAAUCCCUCAGGGAUGCCCUGGGCAAAGCCCAGUCCUCAGAAGAGAAACAACAGGAGAACAACGAGCUCCGUACACAGCUGAAGCAGCUGCAGGAUGACAACAGCCUGUUAAAGAAGCAGCUGAAAGAGUUUCAGAAUCACCUUAACCAUGUGGUUGAUGGUCUGAUUCACCCAGAGGAAGUAGCAGCUCGUGUAGACGAGCUAAGGAAAAGGUUGAAACUAGGAGCUGGGGAAAUGAGAAUCCAUAGUCCUUCAGAUGUCUUAGGGAAAAGUCUUGCUGACCUACAGAAACAGUUCAGUGAAAUCCUUGCACGAUCCCAGUGGGAAAAAGAGGAAGCCCAAGUUAGAGAGAGGAAGCUCCAUGAAGAAAUGGCUCUCCAGCAAGAGAAACUGGCGAAUGGUCAAGAGGAGUUCAGGCAGGCCUGCGAAAGAGCACUUGAAGCCAGAAUUAAGUUUGAUAAAAGACAACAUAAUGCAAGAAUCCAGCAAUUAGAAAAUGAAAUUCACUAUUUGCAAGAGAACCUAAAAAGUAUGGAAAAAAUCCAAGGCCUUACAGACCUUCAGCUUCAGGAAGCAGAUGAAGAGAAGGAAAGAAUUCUGGCCCAACUCCAGGAGUUAGAGAAAAAGAAGAAGCGUGAAGAUGCCAGAUCUCAGGAACAGUUUCUUGGUUUAGAUGAAGAACUGAAGAGUCUGAAGAAAGCGGUGGCUGCUUCUGAUAAAUUAGCUGCGGCUGAGCUCACCAUUGCCAAAGACCAGCUCAAGUCCCUGCACGGAACUGUUGUGAGAAUUAAUCAGGAGCGAGCAGAGGAGCUGCAGGAGGCAGAGAGGUUCAGCAGAGAGGCCAUGCAAGCAGCCAAGGACCUGAGCAGAGCGGAGGCAGAGAUCGAGCUCCUGCAGCACCUUCUCAGGGAGAGAGAGGGCCAGUUCCGAGAUGAGAUGGAAAAUGCAGAUUUAGGUGCUAAAGGAGCAAACUCCCAGCUGCUAGAGAUUGAGGCGCUGAACGAGGCCAUGGCGAAGCAAAGAGCUGAGAUCACGAGACUCCGGGAUGUAUUAAACCUCACGGGGGCAGGUACAAAAGGAGGCAUUGAGAACGUGUUAGAGGAAAUCGCUGAGCUCCGGCAUGCAGUCUCUGCUCAGAACGAGUACAUCAGCAGCAUGGCAGAUCCUUUCAGAAGACAAGGCUGGUGGUACUUUAUGCCACCAGCACCAUCCUCAAAAGUUUCCAGCCAUAGUUCUCAGGCCACCAAGGACUCCGGUUUGGGUCUAAAGUACACAGCCUCAACUCCUCUUAGAAAACCACAGCCUGGACAGCAAGAAGAAAAGGACAGCAGUGGACCUCUGCCUGCUUCAGGGUACUGGGUCUACUCCCCCAUCAGAAGCACGCUGCAUAAGUCAUUUUCAAAGAGAGAAGAUGCAGACAGUGGAGGAGAUAGCCAGGAAGAAAGUGGACUGGAUGACCAGGAGGAACCCCCAUUUGUGCCUCCCCCUGGGUACAUAAUGUAUACUGUACUUCCUGAUGGUUCUCCUGUACCCCAGGGAGUGGCCCUGUAUGCACCAUCGCCUCCAUUGCCCAACAGCAGCCAUCCUCUGACCCCCGGCACUGUGGUUUAUGGGCCACCUCCUGCUGGGGCCCCCAUCAUAUACGGACCUCCUCCUGCCAACUUCGCUGUUCCCCUUGUCCCCGCGGGUGUGCAGCAUUGCAACAUCCCAGAGCACCAUAACCUAGAGAAUGAAGUGUCUAGACUAGAAGACAUAAUGCAGCACUUAAAAUCAAAACAGCGGGAAGAGCGGCGGCAGAAAGCAUCCACGCAGCAUUCUGAGGAAGAAGUGGAUGGGCUGCACCGUGAUAUUGAUGACCUUUUGCAAGAGAAGAAAGAAUUAGAACUUGAAGUAGAAGAAUUACAUAGAACUAUUGAGAGACAUCAACAACGAAAGGACUUCAUUGAUGGACAUGUUGAGAAUCUUAUGACUGAACUAGAAAUAGAAAAGUCUCUCAAACAUCAUGAGGAUAUCGUAGAUGAAAUUGAGUGCCUAGAGAAAACUCUCCUGAAACGUCGCUCGGAACUCAGGGAAGCUGACCGACUUCUGGCGGAAGCCGAGAAUGAGCUUGCAUGCACCAAGGAGAAGACAAAGAGUGCUGUUGAAAAAUUCACUGAUGCCAAGAGAAAUUUAUUACAAACCGAGUCAGACGCUGAGGCACUAGAAAAGAGAGCCCAGGAGACUGCACUUAACCUUGUGAAAGCAGAGCAGCAGCUAAGACUGCUCCAGGCUGAUGCAGAGGACUUGGAGCAGCACAAAAUCAAACAAGAAGAAAUCUUGAAAGAAAUAAACAAAGUUGUAGCAGCCAAAGAUGCCGAUUUCCAGUGUCUAAACGAGAAGAAGGAAAAACUGACAGAAGAGCUUCAGAGUCUGCAGAGAGACAUCAAGGCAGCGCAACACAGUGAGGAUCACCACCUUCAGGUCCUUAGAGAGUCUGAGACUCUCCUUCAGGCCAAGAGAGCUGAGCUGGAAACACUGAAAAGCCAGGUGACAAGCCAGCAGCAGGAGUUGGCUGUCCUGGACUCAGAGUUGGGGCAUAGAAGGGAGGAGCUGCUUCUACUCCAGGACAGCCUCGCCCAGGCAAAAGCUGACCUCCAGGAAGCCCUGACACUGGGGGAGACGGAAGUUGCUGAGAAGUGCAGUCACAUUAGGGAAGUAAAAUCACUUCUGGAAGAACUAAGUUUUCAGAAAGGAGAACUGAAUGUCCACAUCAGUGAAAAGAAGACUCAGCUCGCACUUAUACAGCAGGAGAUGGAGAAAGAGGAAAAGAAUCUUCAGGUGGUUUUACAGCAGCUGUCGAGACAUAAGACUGAACUAAAGAAUGUUGCAGACAUACUGCAGCUUGAAACCAGCGAGCUCCAAGGUCUGAAGCUCCAGCAUGACCAGAAGGUGGUGGAGCUGGAGAAGGCGCAGGUGGACGUGCUGGAGGAGAAACUAGAGCUGGAGAAUUUGCAGCAGGCAACGCAGCAGCAGAGAAGGGAGCUAGAGCGGCAGAGACAGCUCCUGGAGAGAGACAGGCGGGAGACAGAGCGAGUGAGGGCAGAGAGCCAGGCCCUGCAGUCCUGCGUCGAAUGUCUGAGUAAAGAAAAGGAGGAUCUCCAAGGACAGUGCGAGAGCUGGGAAAAGAAGUCUUCCCACGCCCAAAGAGUUCUAGCAGCCACAGAAGAAAGCAACAAAAUGGAGCAGUCCAACCUUGGGAAGUUGGAACUGAGUGUCAGAAAGCUGCGGCAGGAGCUGGAGCAGCUGAGCCAAGACAAGCUUGCCCUACACAGUGAGGUAGCCGAGGUGCAGCAGCAGCUACAAGGUAAACAGGAAGCCAUAAACUCUCUGCAGGAGGAACUGGAUAGCACCCAAGACCAUUUGGACCUAGCAAAGCAGGACCUGAUCCACACCACCAAGUGCCAGAACGAGUUGCUCAAUGAGCAGACGCAGCUGCAGGAGGACAUCAGCAAAUGGAUGGCCAGGUUAGAGAGCUGCCAGAAAGAGACGGAGACAAAGGAACAGCAAGUCCAGCAGCUCCAGGAUGAGAUCAGAGAGAGCAAGCUCCGGCUGGACCAGCAGGAGAUGAUGUUUCAAAAACUCCAGAAAGAAAGAGAACGUGAGGAGCAGAAGUUCGAGGCUGGUAAAGUGACGCUGGAGCAGCAGCAGAGGCAGCUGGAGAAGGAGCUGACGGACCAGAAAAGCAGGCUGAAGCAGCUGCUCACAGACGUGUCGGCAGCUGAAGGACGCCUGGGAACCCUGCAGGAAGAGGAGCGGCGCAUUGAGGGCCUGGAGAGGAUGCUGUCCCAGGCCAAACAGCAGCUUUCAGAACGGGAGCAGCAGCUAAUGGCCAAGUCAGGUGAGCUGCUGGCCCUGCAGAAAGAGGCUGACGAUAUGAGGGCCGACUUCAGCCUCCUGAGGAACCAGUUCUUAACAGAAAGGAAGAAGGCAGAGAAGCAGGUGGCCGGGCUAAAGGAAGCACUGAAGAUCCAGCGCAGUCAGCUGGAGAAAAACCUCCUGCUUCAUUAUGAAGAAAAUAAAUCAUCCAUCAACCCAGGCCCUACCCCAGUGGUUAUUAUUGGUGUAUUUUGUCAUAAUUGAUUGUUGAAGCACACAGUGAGUCUUGGCUGCCAGCAGCCAUCCUGUGGACAGCACAGCACAGUAGGGAGCUCUGCCCUCUGCUCAGCCCACUGCAGGCUCUAGGCAUUGGGUUGGUAGGCACCUUUGCAGAGCCUCAGGCAGCCUGUUUGUGGCAAUCUGCCCUUUUUGUUCAGCAUUAAUUUUUAUCAAGCGUUAAAACCAGGAAGCCUGGUCUACCAUGCUUUUACCCAUGACCUAAGGGGUGGGGUGGUGAUGACAUCAGUCAGAGCAGUGUGCACAGUGUUUCCAGGAGUGGCUGUUUCCAGCGCUCUCUGGAGGGACUAGUAGAACUGCUGUAUGAAGGAAAUCUGAUGCGUUAUCAGAAGGUGGUGUGCUUUAACUAGGACUUGGGCAGGAUGAUCGGAAAGAUAGAUUUAAGCUGGCCAUGGUGGCCCAGUCCUCUAAUCCCAGACUCAAAACCAGAGGCUGGAGGAUCUCUGUGAGUUCGAGGCCAGCCUGGUCUUACAGUGAGUUCCAGGCCAACCAGAGCUACACAGUGAGACCCUGUCUCAAAUCAAUAAAUGAUAAUCCCUACAGCCCCUGAAGGAUGUUGCCCUUUCAUGGGUCACUGAUGGGGCUGAGGGAGGGGAAGGUGACUUGUCAGAGGUACUGCUAAAGAUUUGGCUUCAAACACUGGAUUCAAAUUCUCCCAGUCACACUACACCUGCCUCCAGAAUGCUCCAUUUCACAGUUGUAGAAACUGAGGUCUUUACAUUGCUGGUGAGUGUGGAACCCGUGUGUGUCUGCAAAGUCCUUUGCCUCCCUGCAUGCUAGGAGCAGAAGCAGGAGAACAGCUGCAUGCAAAAGGAAAUGGCUACAAUUGAGCUGGUGGCCCAGGACAACCACGAGAGGGCCAGGCGCCUCAUGAAGGAGCUGAGCCAGAUGCAGCAGGAGUACCUGGAACUCAAGAAACAGGUAGCAAACCAGAAAGACUUGGAGAGGAGGCAGAUGGAGGUCAGUGACGCAAUGAGGACGCUGAAGUCGGAGGUGAAAGACGAAAUCAGAACCAGUCUGAGGAACCUCAACCAGUUCCUUCCAGAACUUCCAGCAGAUCUAGCGUCUAUUUUGGAAAGAAAUGAAAACUUAAGAGAGUUGGAAAGCUUGAAAGAGAACUUCCCGUUUACCACAAAAGAGAGGAUUUUUGAAGAAAAAUCCAACUUUCCCCAAGUUCACAUCAUGGAUGAACACUGGCGUGGAGAAGCACUCCGUCAAAGGCUGCGCCGCCAUGAAGAUCAACUCAAGGCUCAACUUCGACACUGUAUGUCUAAGCAAGCAGAAGUAUUGAUCAAAGGAAAGCAGCAGACAGAGGGCACCCUACACAGUCUGAGGAGACAAGUUGAUGCUUUAGGAGAACUGGUCACUAGUACCUCCACAGACUCAGCAUCAUCACCCAGUCUGCCUUCCCUUGUGGAGGACUCCCAGCAUGGGCAUAGUCAGAGCUCCUUCCAAGUUCUGCAAGUUCCAUUAGAAGAACCAAACAGUUACCGCCACUAAGUUUCCUGCUUGCAGGAAAAGAAGCUCCAGCCAAGGUCAGGAAUACAGCCAUGUGUAACCAUAAGAGGAAAUAGCUACUCUCCUACCUCACUGACAUCCUAAUGGAAUGUCAAUCAAGAUCCUGUGAAGACUGAAAAUGCAUUGUAGUUUGUACCAUUUAUACCGAGGUGUCUGUAAAUCACAUGCACUUGUGGGACUAGAUGUGUGUAUCUAACAUAGGAUGUAAGGGGCUAUUUUUGACUCUCCUCCUCCUCCAAUGAUGAAAUAUUUUUUAAAGACAGUGAAACCACAUAUACUGAGUCCAUAACUGGUAUGUCUAGUUACCAUGGAAAAGAAUGUACUAAAAGCCCCUAGGCUUAAUUAAUAAGUUAUUAUUUUUGAUUCUGAUCCAAAGUUUAUUUUUAAUAUGAAAAUAAAGGUACAGUCAACUUGUGUCUGUCA